rnacentral:ncRNA from 2 species
UGGAUAGAAGCUUUCCGAGCUUUUUGCCCUAAAGGAAUAGCCAAGGGCAUCGGCCGAUAGGGUGCCACUGGAAACGGUGACGCCUCCCAUGUUUGGAAAGGAGAGCAGAGUUGAAAGCU